UACAGAGGUCCCAAGCGUUGUUCGGAUUCAUUGGGCGUAAAGGGUGCGUAGGUGGCGCCGUAAGUCAGGUGUGAAAUCUCGGGGCUUAACUCCGAAACUGCAUUUGAUACUGCGAUGCUUGAGGACUGGAGAGGAGACUGGAAUUUACGGUGUAGCAGUGAAAUGCGUAGAGAUCGUAAGGAAGACCAGUGGCGAAGGCGGGUCUCUGGACAGUUCCUGACACUGAGGCACGAAGGCCAGGGGAGCAAACGGG
rnacentral:rRNA from 1 species